GACGAACGCUGGCGGCGUGCUUAACACAUGCAAGUCGAACGGAAAGGCCCUGCUUUUGUGGGGUGCUCGAGUGGCGAACGGGUGAGUAACACGUGAGUAACCUGCCCUUGACUUUGGGAUAACUUCAGGAAACUGGGGCUAAUACCGGAUAGGAGCUUCUGCUGCAUGGUGGGGGUUGGAGAGAUUCGGCGGUUGGGGCUCGACUCGCGGCUUACCAGCUUGUUGGUGGGGUUGUGGCUUACCAAGGUUUUGACGGGUAGCCGGCCUGAGCGGGUGACCGGCCACAUUGGGACUGAGAUGCGGCCCAGGCUCCUACGGGAGGCAGCAGUGGGGAAUAUUGCACAAUGGGCGGAAGCCUGAUGCAGCAACGCCGCGUGCGGGAUGACGGCCUUCGGGUUGUAAACCGCUUUCGACUGUGACGAAGCGUGCGUGACGGUAAUGGGUAAAAAAGCACCGGCUAACUACGUG
rnacentral:rRNA from 1 species